GCGAGCAUCGAUUAAUGGUAAAUUACUAGCCUUCCAAGCUUGUGCUGUGGGUUCGAUUCCCACUGCUCGCU
rnacentral:tRNA from 3 species